rnacentral:snRNA from 1 species
UAACACGCUUCCUGGUUACGGUGCAGAUGGUACGCUACAUAAAGAUUAGCAUGGUUUCUAGCGCAAGGAUGACACGCACAAUCGUGAAGCGUUCCCAAUUUUU